UACCAGGGCACCUGGCCCGCCCCUACCUCCUAUGGCAGGUCCCUGUUGAACAAACAUAGUCAGACUCUGUACCAAGUGGCACCAGUCCCCAGUGGAGCCCUAUAGACUAGGAGCCCAUGACUUGUGUGGCCUUGCUCAAAGAAGAUGAGUCAGGCCAAUUCUAUUCCUAUUUCAGGAUGUUGAGCUAAAAUUCACAUAGGCCAAUUCCAACUGGCAAUGAAGUCAAAAGGCUUACCAAGAGUUACCCAACUGGAGAGGGAACUGGGUGGUCAUUAUGGACCAGCUGCUACUGAAGGCAAGAAGAAACUGAUCAGCAGACAGUUCUUGAGGUCAUCCAUGAACUAUGCGGAAAUGGAACAAAGCCAGAAUCCUGGAGAACUUCAAUAUUUAAGAAGCAGGAAGAAAAAAAACAGCUAG
rnacentral:lncRNA from 1 species